UUGAAAAAAAUUUUAAUGAUACUAUGAUAGAGAUCAUAGUAUAUCUUACUAUCAGAUAGAACUGAAUCUAUGGGGUCACACAAUAAAGAGCUUAGACCUAGAAUAAGUAAUUGGACUUAUGAAGUCUCAAUUAGAUUUAGAGAAAUCCUAUUGGGUUCAAGAUAAUCUUGCUAGCACAUGGUUGAAUCCAAUUUUCUCUUUGCACUUGAAUUAC
rnacentral:lncRNA from 1 species